AGCAGCGCGGUGCGUACUUCCGGCUGCCGGGUUGACAUGAAGAAGCAGCGGCUAGGGCGGCGGUAGCGGUGGCAGCCGAGGCUUGCAGCGGGACUCCCGGCGGAGUGCGCGACGCGGCCUAGAGCGGCAGACGGCGCGGUAGGCCGAGGAGGGGGCGCAGCAGCCGCCCUGGCCCGUCAUGGAGAUGGAAAAGGAGUUCGAGCAGAUCGACAAGGCCGGGAGCUGGGCGGCCAUUUACCAGAAGACAUGCUCCAUUGGAUUGCUGAGAAAGGGGAGCAUGGAUAUCCGCCACGAAGCCAGCGACUUCCCAUGUAGAGUGGCCAAGCUUCCCAAAAACAAAAACCGAAACAGGUACAGAGAUGUCAGUCCCUUUGACCAUAGUCGGAUUAAACUACAUCAAGAAGAUAACGACUAUAUCAAUGCUAGUUUGAUAAAAAUGGAAGAAGCGCAGAGAAGUUACAUUCUUACCCAGGGCCCUUUGCCUAAUACGUGUGGUCACUUUUGGGAGAUGGUGUGGGAGCAGAAAAGCAGGGGCGUGGUCAUGCUCAAUAGAGUGAUGGAGAAGGGAUCGUUAAAAUGUGCACAGUACUGGCCACAAGAAGAAGAAAAAGAAAUGAUCUUUGAAGACACAAAUUUGAAAUUAACAUUGAUCUCUGAAGAUAUUAAGUCAUAUUACACAGUACGACAACUAGAAUUGGAAAACCUGACAUCUAAAGAAACUCGAGAGAUCCUACAUUUCCACUAUACCACGUGGCCUGACUUCGGAGUCCCCGAAUCGCCAGCCUCAUUCCUGAACUUUCUUUUCAAAGUCCGAGAGUCGGGGUCACUCAACCGGGAGCACGGCCCAGUCGUGGUGCACUGCAGUGCCGGCAUCGGCAGGUCGGGGACCUUCUGUCUUGCUGACACCUGUCUCUUGCUGAUGGACAAAAGGAAAGACCCUUCUUCUGUUGAUAUCAAGAAAGUUCUGUUAGAAAUGAGGAAGUUUCGGAUGGGACUGAUCCAGACAGCAGACCAGCUCCGUUUCUCCUAUCUAGCUGUGAUCGAAGGUGCCAAAUUCAUCAUGGGAGACUCUUCAGUGCAGGAGCAAUGGAAGGAGCUCUCCCACGAGGACCUGGAGCCCCCACCUGAGCAUGUCCCACCCCCUCCCCGACCACCCAAACGAAUCCUGGAGCCACACAAUGGGAAAUGCAGGGAGUUCUUCCCAAACCACCAGUGGAUAAAGGAUGAGUCCGAGGAGGAUAAAGAAGAUGGCCCCAUCAAGGAAGAAACCAGAACCCCCUUAAGUGUCCCCUGUAACAUAGAAAGCACGAGUCAAGACACUGAAGUCAGAAGGCGGGUCGUGGGGGCAGGUCCUACCCAGGAGGAGCCGUCGCCACCCCAGGAGGAGCAGGACCAGGCGCUGACUCACUGGAAGCCCUUUCUGGUCAACAUGUGCAUGGCCACGGUCCUCACGGCUGGCGCGUACCUCUGCUACAGGGUAUGUUUUCACUGACGGACGUGCUGGUGAGGCCAUGUGUACAGAAAGCGCUGGCCAACAGCCUGGCGUGAGCAUUCAGUGCUGUGGAAGGAUCUGAGCCAGUCUCAGAGGAAACAGAUCAAAGGUUUAAAGUCUGGAACCGUGAAGGGCUAACGAGAAUUGAGGACUGAUGCACUGGGGUUUUAGGGAGCCCUGUGGUCCCAAGAAUACAAGUGUCUAAUCUCAGGGCCUUUACCUAUUCAGGACUGGUGUAGCCCGAUACACAGUGUCUGUUGGAUUUCCCAGGGAAAGGCUCCCACACUUUGAGGAAUGAGAGUCCUCUGCAGAAGAGGGCCUAAGGUAUAGGACGCUGACUUGCUCAGUCACUUCCUCGGCUGUGCGCAGAGCUUGGCCCGGUCCUGCCAGCUUUCCCACUUAAGAAGAAAAACAACAAAAGGCCGUCUGUAGGCAUUAAACCUGGCUUGUGCUUUUGCUCAGGGUGUCCCCACUGGUUUUCCCUCAUUCGUGUCUCCAUUGAUCCCUUGUAGCAGCCAUCUUGCUCAUGUCCUGCCCUCAGCACCCAUCCAAAAACGGGGUUCCUUGAGAACCCUGCCUCAGGGUCAGAGGUCACCACAGGGUGGGUGGCCACCGGCUUUUUACCCUGCCAUUGAGAUCCAGAAGGAGCAGUUUCCACUUGAUUUGGACUGUAAACGCCAUUUCAGUAGACACCCACACCUGAGAAGUGAGUUGCUGUUAAAGCAAGGGGAAGGGAGGAUUAGCUUCAAAACUCUGGUCAUGGAAAUAACCUCACAAGACUUUUAUCAUUUAAAAAUUUUACCUCUUUUCAGGUGACCAUCUUUGAGUGUAUCAGAUGGUUUAGUAACACACAGUUUUUCCUUAGGGAUGAUGUUUGGAAGGGGUGGGAGUGGCCAGGUAGUGGCCAGGGUUUGGGGGUGGCCAGGUAGUGCCAAGUCUGCAGCUGGGCGGGUCUGGGCUCAACUGAAAAUGUUUGGUUUCAUUCCAGUUCCAGUUCAACAGCAACACAUAAUCUGACCCACCUCCACCCCACUGCCCGCUCCGCUCACAGAGCCCGCACCUGACUAGCAGGCAACGUGGUAGGUAAGGGCCGACGCACAGCGUGGCCAGUUUGACGGGGCAGAUGUUUGCCCUGCACUGAAACUACCCUCCCCAGCUGUUGGUAGUUUGAAACUACCCCUUUCCUUUUACUUCCCCCCCUCCCCUUCUUUAUGUACCAAAUCCACAACCUGUCUUUUUGAGGAGAGCAGAAGAGGGUCCCAUGCUGGUGGCACAGAGGAAGGUGGCCUGUGCAGGGCGGCACACGGCUUUUCCCGGGAGAUUCUGCGGAGACUGCGUGUUGUGAGCCUCUCCACUCCAUAUUUAUUUUUUAUUUUUCCCCAGAGGCAUCCAUAGUGCACUAGCAUUUUCUUAAACCAAUAAUGUAUUAAAACGUUUUGAUGUCAGCCUUGCAUGAAAGGCUUUCUCAAAAAGUACAAUAAUAAACCCUCAGGUAGUGCUGAGAACGUAUGACUUUGCCAUGAGCCCACUGUGUCAGAGGAAGGAGGACAGCUGUGAGCAGUGGGUAUUUCAUGACACUGUGGGUAAUGUGAGAGGAGGUUUGGCAUUUGUUUAUAGAGCAGUGGGGUAAUAUAUAACGAACACUUGGAUAUUUAACAUACAUGACAGGAGAUGACUGUCCGGUUAUUCCCCGCCCCAGUUUUAUCUACUAGAACUUUAUUCUCCAUCACCGCUUUCCCCGUGGGUAUUAGAAUGCAUGUUCAGUCUUGUGUCCUGAUCAAAUACCACGUGCUUGAAAUACUUAGAUCUCUGCUUAUAAAGUGUCCUCGUGUAUAAGUCAAAUUUCUCCUUGCAUGAUCAGAUCAUUACGUGCUGUGGUUCCUAAGACUGUUGCUGAACUAUUUGCUGUUCAGCACUGGAGGGAUGUUUCCAGUAACAGAUACUGGCCUAAUUCCUGGCAUGAAACUCUGGUGACUUCCUGGUGAGGUCCGGCUGGGUCCCACUGUAACUCAAACAUUCCAAGGAGAUGGGAAGCCAUAGUCACACCUCACGCUCUGGACGUUUAGGCAAGCAGGGUCCCCUGCACACACACCUUUGGGAUCAGCCUCCACUAUCCCAAGUGCACACUCUUCUUGAGAAGACUGUGAUUUUGAACCAAGGCAACUGUUGGAAACCACACUUGAAGCAACCUGGAUGAUGAUGGUCCCUUGGAGUCAGCCGGCUGCUGUCUCAGUCGGGAGGGCCUUGCUGAGAGAGGCCUGUCUGCCCCUGCCCUUGAACCCUGGGGACUGAUGGUGCUCACGACUCUUCUUGUGAGGGGAACUUAAGACCUCCACAUUAAGUGGCUUUUUUAACAAGAAAAAAAGGCAGCUGUAGCUCAUGAGCUGCUCUUUUGCCAGCAUUUUCACAUUUUGCCUUUCACGUGUCAGAAGCCCGUGCAGAGAAACUCUGUGGUGGGAACAUUUGAGACAUCGCCCCGCAGAGCCUUGUGAGGUGUGGGUGAGGCCGAGGCGCCAGGCUGUGAGCAUUCUGAGUUGGGCUUAUUGUUUUUGAAGUCCUGUAUAUGUAUGUAGUAGUUUGAGUGUGUAUAUAUAGUAGCAUUUCAAAAUGGAUAUAAUGGUUUAACCUAUCUUUGGAAAACAGAUGGCUCUCCAUCUUGUUACACGUAUGUUAGAGAAGUAGCGAGCUGCUCUGCUAUAUGCCUUAAACCAAUAUUUACUCAGCAGGUCAUUAUUUUUUACAAUGGCCAUGGAAUAAACCAUUUUUAAAAAAAUAAAAACAAACAAAAAAAGCGAGGUGUUUUGGUAUAAUACCUUUUCAGGUGUGUGUAUACGUGGAUGCAUGAUGGGGUGGGGCGGGGGGUGCGUCUCAGGGUCUUCUGUGAUUUCACAGAACUGUCAAACUGUACAGUUUUCCAACUUGCCAUAUAAAAACGAUGGGUUUGCAUUUUAGUUGCAACAAUAAAAAUUUUUUUUCUAAAGAAUAUCGAUUUGGGGUGCUUCCCAUUUCUUUGCUUAACUGGGCCUAAACCAGAAUGGACAACCCUGCUUUCCAUCCCUGCUGAUGUGAGGCAGAUGCUGUCAAGCAGGGUUACAAGUUUCCACAUGUAGGAAUCACAAGCCCUCCACGAGGGGCACUGGGGCUUUUCCUGAGCGGGAGUUCAUUAAACACGUCCUGCCUCAGCCCAUUUCCUUCAGCGGAACCCACCUUUGGAACAUAGGGCCCUUGGAUAACCUAACAGACUUGCACAAGUUGUUUGAAAAGCUGUUCAGACCUCAAGAACAUGCCUCUUAACCAACUGCCUGUGAGACACAGUGGUUGUUACCGCAUCUCAGUACCUCCGUACGGUCAUGUUCGAUGUAGAAUUGACGUGGAAAUAGUAAGAUGUGCAAAAUCAUGUAGUCUUCCUUUUUUGUACAAAAUAAAUGUAAAUCUCCCCUAAA